rnacentral:rRNA from 1 species
GGAGAGGGCUAGCGUUAUUCGGAAUUAUUGGGCGUAAAGGGCGCGUAGGCGGAUUAGUAAGUUAAAAGUGAAAUCCCAAGGCUCAACCUUGGAAUUGCUUUUAAAACUGCUAAUCUAGAGAUUGAAAGAGGAUAGAGGAAUUCCUAGUGUAGAGGUGAAAUUCGUAAAUAUUAGGAGGAACACCAGUGGCGAAGGCGUCUAUCUGGUUCAAAUCUGACGCUGAGGCGCGAAGGCGUGGGGAGCAAACAGGAUUAGAUACCCUGGUAGUCCACGCCCUAAACGAUGCGAACUGGAUGUUGGGUGCAAUUUGGCACGCAGUAUCGAAGCUAACGCGUUAAGUUCGCCGCCUGGGGAGUACGGUCGCAAGACUGAAACUCAAAGGAAUUGACGGGGGCCCGCACAAGCGGUGGAGUAUGUGGUUUAAUUCGAUGCAACGCGAAGAACCUUACCUGGCCUUGACAUGUCGAGAACUUUCCAGAGAUGGAUGGGUGCCUUCGGGAACUCGAACACAGGUGC